UUAGACUAUUCCUAGAAUCACAGAUGUCUUCACUGGUGGACAGUGCUGCUACAGUAAUACAAUUAUUACCUGGAACAUGAUAAAAUGAUAAGCCUGUUCCAAGUACUAAGGACCCAAUCCAGUUGGUAAAAACCAGAGAUUUAGAGUAUUGUAGCAAAGAAAAAGAUUGAGUGUAAGAGGCCUAGGAGCUGUAAUAUAAAGACUUUAAAG